rnacentral:rRNA from 1 species
CCUACGGGUGGCAGCAGUGAGGAAUAUUGGUCCAUGGACGAGAGUCUGAACCAGCCAAGUAGCGUGAAGGAUGACUGCCCUAUGGGUUGUAAACUUCUUUUAUAUGGGAAUAAAACGUUCCACGUGUGGGAUUUUGUAUGUACCAUAUGAAUAAGGAUCGGCUAACUCCGUGCCAGCAGCCGCGGUAAUACGGAGGAUCCGAGCGUUAUCCGGAUUUAUUGGGUUUAAAGUGAGCGUAGGUGGAUUGUUAAGUCAGUUGUGAAAGUUUGCGGCUCAACCGUAAAAUUGCAGUUGAAACUGGCAGUCUUGAGUACAGUAGAGGUGGGCGGAAUUCGUGGUGUAGCGGUGAAAUGCUUAGAUAUCACGAAGAACUCCGAUUGCGAAGGCAGUUCACUGGACUGCAACUGACACUGAGGCUCGAAAGUGUGGGUAUCAAACAGGAUUAGAUACCCCAGUAGUC